rnacentral:tRNA from 1 species
GCGUCUUUAGUUCAGUUGGUAGAACGUAGGUUUCCAAAACCUAAUGGCGUAGGUUCAAGUCCUACAAGGCGUG